rnacentral:rRNA from 1 species
UACGUAGGGUGCAAGCGUUGUCCGGAUUUAUUGGGCGUAAAGAGCUCGUAGGCGGUAUGUCGCGUCGGAUGUGAAAACCCAGGGCUCAACCCUGGGCCUGCAUCCGAUACGGGCACACUAGAGUGUGGUAGGGGAGACUGGAACUCCUGGUGUAGCGGUGAAAUGCGCAGAUAUCAGGAAGAACACCGAUGGCGAAGGCAGGUCUCUGGGCCAUUACUGACGCUGAGGAGCGAAAGCGUGGGGAGCAAACAGGAUUAGAUACCCUGGUAGUCCACGCCGUAAACGGUGGGCGCUAGGUGUGGGGAACAUUCCACGUUCUCCGUGCCGCAGCUAACGCAUUAAGCGCCCCGCCUGGGGAGUACGGCCGCAAGGCUAAA